rnacentral:rRNA from 2 species
GUCUUUUUGAUUAUAAUUUAAAGUCUAACCUGCCCAAUGAGGAAUUGAAUGGCCGCGGUAAUUUGACCGUGCAAAGGUAGCAUAAUCAUUAGUUUUUUAAUUGAAAGCUGGAAUGAACGGUUGGACGAGAAAAUAACUGUCUCAGUUUAAUUGAAUAUAGAAUUUUAUCUAUAAGUAAAAAAGCUUAUAUGAUUUUAAAAGACGAGAAGACCCUAUAGAGUUUUAUAUUUUAUUGUAUUGAUUAAUUUUAGUAUGUUUAUAUUUUUAAUAUAAUAAGGUAUUUUGCUGGGGCAGUGGAAAAAUUUAAUAAACUUUUUUUAUUAUCAUUACAUUAGUCUAUGAUUAAAUGAUCCAUUUUUUAUGAUUAUAAGAUUAAAUUACCUUAGGGAUAACAGCGUAAUUUUUUUUUAGAGUUCUUAUCGAAAAAAGAGUUUGCGACCUCGAUGUUGGAUUAAAAUUAACUUUUGGUGUAGGGGCUAGAAGGUUAGGUCUGUUCGACCUUUAAAAUUUUACA